rnacentral:rRNA from 1 species
GGCGGACGGGUGAGUAAUGCCUAGGAAUCUGCCUGGUAGUGGGGGACAACGUUUCGAAAGGAACGCUAAUACCGCAUACGUCCUACGGGAGAAAGCAGGGGACCUUCGGGCCUUGCGCUAUCAGAUGAGCCUAGGUCGGAUUAGCUAGUUGGUGAGGUAAUGGCUCACCAAGGCGACGAUCCGUAACUGGUCUGAGAGGAUGAUCAGUCACACUGGAACUGAGACACGGUCCAGACUCCUACGGGAGGCAGCAGUGGGGAAUAUUGGACAAUGGGCGAAAGCCUGAUCCAGCCAUGCCGCGUGUGUGAAGAAGGUCUUCGGAUUGUAAAGCACUUUAAGUUGGGAGGAAGGGCAGUAAAUUAAUACUUUGCUGUUUUGACGUUACCGACAGAAUAAGCACCGGCUAACUCUGUGCCAGCAGCCGCGGUAAUACAGAGGGUGCAAGCGUUAAUCGGAAUUACUGGGCGUAAAGCGCGCGUAGGUGGUUCGUUAAGUUGGAUGUGAAAUCCCCGGGCUCAACCUGGGAACUGCAUUCAAAACUGUCGAGCUAGAGUAUGGUAGAGGGUGGUGGAAUUUCCUGUGUAGCGGUGAAAUGCGUAGAUAUAGGAAGGAAACACCAGUGGCGAAGGCGACCACCCUGGACUGAUACUGACACUGAGG